UGAAUGACUCUCGGCAACGGAUAUCUCGGCUCUUGCAUCGAUGAAGAACGUAGCGAAAUGCGAUACUUGGUGUGAAUUGCAGAAUCCCGUGAACCAUCGAGUCUUUGAACGCAAGUUGCACCCGAGGCCACUAGGUUGAGGGCACGUCUGCCUGGGCGUCACAC
rnacentral:rRNA from 1 species